rnacentral:rRNA from 1 species
GACGAACGCUGGCGGCGUGCUUAACACAUGCAAGUCGAACGGAAAGGCCCUGCUUUUGUGGGGUGCUCGAGUGGCGAACGGGUGAGUAACACGUGAGUAACCUGCCCUUGACUUUGGGAUAACUUCAGGAAACUGGGGCUAAUACCGGAUAGGAGCUCCUGCUGCAUGGUGGGGGUUGGAAAGUUUCGGCGGUUGGGGAUGGACUCGCGGCUUAUCAGCUUGUUGGUGGGGUAGUGGCUUACCAAGGCUUUGACGGGUAGCCGGCCUGAGAGGGUGACCGGCAACAUUGGGACUGAGAUACGGCCCAGACUCCUACGGGAGGAAGAAGUGGGGAAUAUUGAACAAUGGGCGGAAGCCUGAUGCAGCAACGCCGCGUGCGGGAUGACGGCCUUCGGGUUGUAAACCGCUUUCGCCUGUGACGAAGCGUGAGUGACGGUAAUGGGUAAAGAAGCACCGGCUAACUACGUG